rnacentral:tRNA from 1 species
GCCUCCAUAGCUCAGUGGUUAGACAACUGGUUUAGUAAACCAAGGGUCGAGAGUUUAAUUCUCCCUAUAGGCA